rnacentral:rRNA from 1 species
UACGAGGGGGGCAAGCGUUGUUCGGAAUUAUUGGGCGUAAAGCGCGCGCAGGCGGUCCUUUAAGUCUGAUGUGAAAGCCCACGGCUCAACCGUGGAGGGUCAUUGGAAACUGGAGGACUUGAGUACAGAAGAGGAAAGCGGAAUUCCACGUGUAGCGGUGAAAUGCGUAGAGAUGUGGAGGAACACCAGUGGCGAAGGCGGCUUUCUGGUCUGUAACUGACGCUGAGGCGCGAAAGCGUGGGGAGCAAACAGG